CCUACGGGAGGCAGCAGUGGGGAAUAUUGCACAAUGGGGGAAACCCUGAUGCAGCGACGCCGCGUGAGUGAGGAAGUAUUUCGGUAUGUAAAGCCCUAUCAGCAGGGAAGAAAAUGACGGUACCUGACUAAGAAGCCCCGGCUAACUACGUGCCAGCACCCGCGGUAAUACGUAGGGUGCAAGCGUUAUCCGGAUUUACUGGGGGUAAAGGGGGCGUAGACGGAAUUGCAAGUCUGAUGUGAAAAUCCGGGGCCCAACCCCGGAACUGCAUUGGAAACUGUAUUUCUAGAGUGUCGGAGAGGUAAGUGGAAUGCUUGGUGUAGCGGUGAAAUGCGUAGAUAUCAGGAGGAACACUAGUGGCGAAGGCGGCUUGCUGGACCAUGACUGACGUUGAGGCACGAAAGCGUGGGGAGCAAACAGGAUUAGAUACCCGAGUAGUC
rnacentral:rRNA from 1 species